UUUGGCGAAUAACGUGCUUACUUAAAUUUGUUUAUUUGUCGAUACGGCUGACGCACAAGUGGACGUAAAUAUGAUUUAAGAUGUGUUCACAAACAUCGGUUUUACAGUAAACACACAUAAACUGUGAUCGUACUACAGCGGCUCACUGGCGCUCCCAAAAAUACCACAGAAAAAGUACUGAAAAAUCCAGCAGCUAAGAGCUGCUGAGCUGGUUUUAGCUGGUAGUGCUGGUAUAGCAAGCUGUUCUAGCUGUGUUUAGCUGGUCAGGCUGGAGGACCAGCUGACAUCAGCUUGACCAGCUUUGCAAGGCUGGGAGAACCACCUUAAACCAGCUACUGCUGCCUUAAACCAGCUAGUUUAUGCUGGUCUUAGCAUGUAUUUUUUAGUAGGGAAGUUAAAGUUCAGACCAUUUUUUACCCGGUAUGAGUCCAAGCAUGGUCCGAGGAGACUAACAGACCUCUUCAAGAUAAACUUACCAGAAGUUAGUUAAAUUAAAGCUCUCCGUCUUCUCAUAUCAAGUCUGAGUUUGGAGAACAUCUGAUCAGAGAUCAUUCAUCCACACCCAACAAAUCCACAGGUCCUCUUCUCAGGUCAAGUGUUCCAGGGCACGAGUGUUGGUUUCUCCCAAAGCUUUGUCCGGACCUCUGAUCUGAUCAUGAAUCAGUUCAUGAAUCACAUCUUUUUGGGAAAACAUUUAAGAAGAAGUUCAAAUUCUUGCCCGUGGACAAACUAGGACAUUAUAUCAUCAUUGUUUUUAAAGGAAGGUUUCUGCUACUCUCAUUUCCUUCUCUGCACAGCCCGACGCGUCACUGGAUCAUCAGCAGACUUCUGCAUUCAUACACGAAGAUCAGACAUUCAACACCAUGAUAAAACAACAUCAAUCUAGGCCGUUUUACACAAACAGUAUACGUCAGAUGAAGUACAAUUCAGCAGCUCUCCAACACAACUCGGGGACUGAAUAUUCGCUUCUGCAAACAGACAAUCGGGCGUGUUCAGGGAGAAAUAAGAAGUGUUUUCUCCUGUUAUUAACAUCUUUGGGUUUAGAAGUUAAACACUGGUUAGUUAAAGCUCAGGUACUGGUUAAAGUGGAACGAGAAGAAGACCCACCUUGCU